rnacentral:misc_RNA from 1 species
GUGAAUCAUCAAAUUUUUGAACGCAAAUUGCGCUUCCUGGCAUCCCGGGAAGUAUGCCUGUUUGAGGGUCAGUUCUAACAACAAAUCGGGUUGGUUGCAAAUUGUGACGUUUCCGGACUUUGGGCUAUCCGAACUUUUUUGGUUAAGGGGCUUAAAAUUGACCUUAUUGGCGCAUUUUUAGACGUACAUAAAUUUUUUUUUCAUUCUUCAAUCCUAAAUGCU